ensembl:lincRNA 9330136K24Rik RIKEN cDNA 9330136K24 gene
GCCAGCUGCUAAACUGCUGACUCUCCCAGGAUGCUCAAAAGGUACCUGCGGUAUAGUGGUGUACGCAGAGAAUCUUGCACGUCCCAGAUGCAGAAAAUAAGGUAGCAUCUCUGAUCUUGAGGAAUGUUGGAAGACAAAGUUAAGGAUUUCUCACAGUCUUUAGAUUCAGAAGGUUCUUCUCCAGUGUGCCUGCUUUUAUGUCUAUGUGGGUUUGACGAGUCAACAGAGGCUUCCUUGUCACUACAGCAUCUGUAGUUAUUAGAGGUUUCUGUAGUGUCACUUCUUUUAUAAAGUACACAGUUUGGGGGUUCAUGAAGCAUUUCACCAAGCUCAUUACACUGACAAGACGCCUUUUCGGUUUUUACAUGUUGAGGUACAGUAUCCCAUGUACAGUUCUUUGAGAACAAAUCAGAUUAAUAGGGUUUGUUCCAAAAUUAAACAUUUGAUAAAUGGUUGUCUCCAUGGGUUCUUUCUUACAAUAAGUCAACCAGCAACUACUUAGAUGUAUUUCUUUUACUGUAAUUUUAUGUAUUCCCACAACAAUGGCCUGACAGCCUUCAAGGGUCUGUGAUUUACAAUAGAUAUCUCAUCAUUAUAGAAAAUGUAUACUGGCUCGAGAUGGACCAAAUAAUUGAGGAGUUAGUAACUGGUUUUGGGUGGAGCUCAAAUGGCUGAUUGUACUUUGAACACAUGUUUCUAUUCAGAAACUGGUGACAAAUUUAAUGAAAUCCCAGGUUCACAGUGUUUAUACUCAAUAAUACACAGUAACAAAGAUUACUGUCCAAGAAACCUAAAUCUUUCUAAUACUUAAAAGCAUCAACACAUUUGUCUGUUUGGUUUUUUUUAUUGUUUUGUUUUUGUUUGGUUUGGUUUGGUUUUUGAUUUUUCGAGACAGGGUUUCUCUGUGUAGCCCUGGCUGUCCUGGAACUCACUCUGUAGACCAGGCUNNNNNNNNNNNNNNNNNNNNAGUCUUUCACCACCACACCUGGCUGUUUUUUUUUUUUUCUUUAAAAAACACACUAUAUUAUUGAAAAGUAAUGGAAGCAAAGCAAGUAUUUUUCAGAUAUCAGAGACUUUAGAAUACAGAGCUUAGAUCAUUUGAGGGAGGGCUGUCAGGUGCAGUGAUUGCUUAUUUCUUUCCUACACUGUCUGAAUUACAUACAUUGCCAGAUAUCUUUAUUUUCCUUAUAUGAUUAUUCUCAAGCUUACUCGUAUAAUAAUUCUUGAGAUUAUUUUCCGGAAGGGUGUUGGUGUAUUCUCCACUAGAAAGAAAAUGAAGGAUGUAAUAUGAAGACAUGCAUGCAAAAAAAGUAAAUCAUGGGAGCUGGAGAGAUGGCUCAGUGGUUAAGAGCUCUGACUUCUCUCCCAAAGGUCCUGCGUUCAAUUCCCAGCAACUACAUGGUGGCUUACAAGCAUCUGUAAUGGGAUAUGAUGCCUUCUCAUAAGUCUGAAGACAGCUAUAGUGUACUCAUAUAAUUACAGAAUGUUACUUUGUGGCUUCAUGUCAGACUCAUAAUUUUGUAAAUUAUUCCAAUCUGAUGUCAUCAUAAUCAAGGAAAAUUCCAUUUUGUACUAGUGUUAAGUUGAUAAUUCAGGUGCAAUAAGGCACAAUAUCUUCAACUAGUUACAACAGGCAGGAUACAUCCUGGAGGCACAAUAUUAAGCUAAAUGAUUGGGAAUCAUUUCAGGUGGAAUUCAGUGUAGCAAACAUAUUUUCAGCUUUUGCUUUCUCCUUCACCUGAAACCUUUACUAUUGUCCUACUCAUUCACUAGCUCACCCUAGUAGUGAGCCAGAUGAGGCUACUCUCUCUCCCCUCUCCACAUUCCAUGGUAAACUCAAUUGAUCCAGACAGGUAACCAUGUCUACCUUGUAUACAAAAAUCCACAUAUAUUCUGUGACCCAUGCAAUGAUUUUUUUAAAAAAGAAUACAGAUGUCCAACACAACACUAUGCUCAGUACAUGAAGACAACACCAAGUAGAGACAUCCAGGAAUGAUUUCCCAAUUCUAUUUCCUGUCACAAUCUUAAGUUUUCUUGGGGAGACUUUUAAGUGUUUAUAUGAUGAGUUUUUCUUCUCACAAUUAAAAUCCUGUAAUUACAAUUAUGGACAUGGAGCUGUAAAACAUGGAGUUAAAUAUUAUAUGAUAGUAUGUUUCUUAAUGCAUUGUGAAAACCAAAUAAAGGUUGCAUGAUUCCUCUAGAAUGAGAAAUGGAAUGAAUAAAUCAUAUACCCUG